UUUUCGCUUACCUUCCACAAACAAUUCCUUCCCAUUUUACAUCCUUACAAAAUGGUUUCUUUUCAAAAAUGCGAGCUCCUUUCUAUCACUUCUCUUCCUUUUCUGGCAGAGGAUUAAUAUUGCGCGACUCUCCAUUGUAUUAUCUUAUUCAACGCAUAGCUCAACAAAUAUGUAUUUUAUCCUCUCUAUCUGGGGCAUAACAUCUUUAAACAGUAAAAUUCUACUGAGCUCAAAAAG
rnacentral:misc_RNA from 1 species